UACGGGGGGGGCAAGCGUUGUUCGGAAUUACUGGGCGUAAAGGGCUCGUAGGUGGCCAACUAAGUCAGACGUGAAAUCCCUCGGCUUAACCGGGGAACUGCGUCUGAUACUGGAUGGCUUGAGUUUGGGAGAGGGACGCGGAAUUCCAGGUGUAGCGGUGAAAUGCGUAGAUAUCGAGAGGAACACCUGCGGCGAAGGCGGGUUGCUAGGCUGACACUGACGCUGAAGCGCGAAAGCUAGGGGAGCGAACGGG
rnacentral:rRNA from 1 species